GGGCCAACCCUUCUCUGUAGCAAAAGAGUGGGAAGAUUUUAAAGUAGAGGUGAUAUACCUACCGAGCCUAGAGAUAGCUGGUUAUUCAAGAAAAGGAUUUUAGUCCACCUUUAAGUUUUAUAACACUAAUAAACACUUCACCUAAAUUCUUCACCUAAAUACUUAAUAAACUUAAAAAGCACUCAAAUAAGGUACAGCCUAUUUGAAUCAGGAAACAGCCUCCAAUACUGGGUAAUGACACCCCCCCCAUGACCAAGUAGGCCUAAAAGCAGCCAUCUUCUAAAAAGCGUUCAAGCUUUAUCAUAAUCUAUCAUUAAUCCCUCAACCAACUCAUAACCCCCAACUACUACUGAAUAGUCCCAUAAGUGUAUGAGAGCCAUCAUGCUAGAACUAGUAACAAGAAAAGAACUUCUCCAAAAUGUAAACACAAGCCAUAAUGAACCCCCACCGGCACCCACCGCAUAGACCUAGUACCAACAACCCAAGAAAACCGUACUUUAAACAGCGUUAACCUUACACUAGAACAUUUCUGAGAAAGAUUUAAAGAGAUGGAAGGAACUCGGCAAACAUUA
rnacentral:rRNA from 1 species